rnacentral:rRNA from 1 species
GAUGAACGCUGGCGGCGUGCCUAAUACAUGCAAGUCGAGCGAAUGGAUUAAGAGCUUGCUCUUAUGAAGUUAGCGGCGGACGGGUGAGUAACACGUGGGUAACCUGCCCAUAAGACUGGGAUAACUCCGGGAAACCGGGGCUAAUACCGGAUAACAUUUUGAACCGCAUGGUUCGAAAUUGAAAGGCGGCUUCGGCUAUCACUUAUGGAUGGACCCGCGUCGCAAUAGCUAGUUGGUGAGGUAACGGCUCACCAAGGCAACGAUGCGUAGCCGACCUGAGAGGGUGAUCGGCCACACUGGGACUGAGACACGGCCCAGACUCCUACGGGAGGCAGCAGUAGGGAAUCUUCCGCAAUGGACGAAAGUCUGACGGAGCAACGCCGCGUGAGUGAUGAAGGCUUUCGGGUCGUAAAACUCUGUUGUUAGGGAAGAACAAGUGCUAGUUGAAUAAGCUGGCACCUUGACGGUACCUAACCAGAAAGCCACGGCUAACUACGUGCCAGCAGCCGCCGUAG